UGGGGAAUAUUGCACAAUGGGCGCAAGCCUGAUGCAGCCAUGCCGCGUGUAUGAAGAAGGCCUUCGGGUUGUAAAGUACUUUCAGCGAGGAGGAAGGCGUUGUGGUUAAUAACCGCAGCGAUUGACGUUACUCGCAGAAGAAGCACCGGCUAACUCCGUGCCAGCAGCCGCGGUAAUACGGAGGGUGCAAGCGUUAAUCGGAAUUACUGGGCGUAAAGCGCACGCAGGCGGUCUGUCAAGUCGGAUGUGAAAUCCCCGGGCUCAACCUGGGAACUGCAUCCGAAACUGGCAGGCUAGAGUCUUGUAGAGGGGGGUAGAAUUCCAGGUGUAGCGGUGAAAUGCGUAGAGAUCUGGAGGAAUACCGGUGGCGAAGGCGGCCCCCUGGACAAAGACUGACGCUCAGGAGCGAAAGCGUGGGGAGCAAACA
rnacentral:rRNA from 1 species